rnacentral:rRNA from 1 species
UACGUAGGGGACCAAGCGUUUGUCCGGAAUCAUUGGGGCGUAAAGAGCGUGUAGGCGGCUUGUUAAGUCUUGCGUGAAAUCUCGGGGCUCAACCCCGAGCGGUCGUGAGAAACUGGCAGGCUAGAGUGCGGGAGAGGAGAGUGGAAUUCCUGGUGUAGCGGUGAAAUGCGCAGAUAUCAGGGAAGAACACCCGUGGCGAAGGCGGCUCUCUGGACGACAACUGACGCUGAGGCGCGAAAGCGUGGGGAUCAAACAGG